rnacentral:lncRNA from 1 species
AGAUAUUAUGGACACAAUGUUGAGCUGUUUUGGGUUUUUUGCGUGCUUCUGGAGGUAACAUAGAUUUUUCCAACUUCUCAGGAAACAAUUGUAUGAGUUGGAUAAAUCUAAUUCCUUAAUGAUAUAUGCCAAGGCAUUUGUAUGAUCUUCCAUUAGAUACAUACAAUAUGUUGUUGAAAUUCCCUGCUUUUUUUAAUAAAAAAGGGGGGAAAUUCCCUUUAUGUUUGAUGUGAAUAUUCUUCCAACGUAAAGAUGCUCCCCUUAAUAAGCCCUAAUGGCUGUUCAGCUUAAAGACACUUGACGUGAACAUCAGG